rnacentral:rRNA from 1 species
UACGAAGGUCCCAAGCGUUAUCCGGAUUUAUUGGGUUUAAAGGGUGCGUAGGCGGGUUAUUAAGUCAGUGGUGAAAGCUCCCAGCUCAACUGGGAAACUGCCAUUGAUACUGAUAGUCUUGAGUAUGAUUGAAGUGGGCGGAAUGUGUCAUGUAGCGGUGAAAUGCUUAGAUAUGACACAGAAACACCGAUUGCGAAAGGCAGCUCACUAAGCCAUAACUGACGCUGAUGCACGAAAAGCCGUGGGGGAGCAAAACAGGA